rnacentral:rRNA from 1 species
AUGAAUCCGCAGGUGGUGACUGUGUGGAACAAGAGGGUAAAGUUGGUGUUAAGAACACAAGGUCUUGCCGUUGCAAAUGUCAGACGCUGGGUGGUACAUCACAGAGCAUUGGGAGAGCCACAACCAUUCCCUUUCACCAAACUUUGGCGAGAUGGUGCAUUGGCCAUGGCACAAGCAUAUAUAUCUGAUAAAACAGUUGCGGCAAAACAAUGCCAACCUUGCGAAGGUGUAUGGUAUCAUAGGGAACUUCUUUGGAUCAAUGGAGAAUGUGCCAUUCACCAAAAGGUCUUUGCGCAAUCUCCGUGGGAAGAUAAAUAG